rnacentral:rRNA from 1 species
AAUAUCGGACAAUGGGGGCAACCCUGAUCCAGCCAUGCCGCGCGUGUGAAGAAGGUCUUCGGAUUGUAAAGCCCUUUAAGCUGGGAGGAAGGGCUCUAGGUUAAUACCCUGAAGUCUUGACGUUACCAACAGAAUCAGCACCGGCUAACUCUGUGCCAGCAGCCGCGGUAAUACAGAGGGUGCAAGCGUUAAUCGGAAUUACUGGGCGUAAAGCGCGCGUAGGUGGUUCAGUAAGAUGGGUGUGAAAUCCCCGGGCUUAACCUGGGAACUGCUUUCAUAACUGCUGGGCUAGAGUACGGUAGAGGGUAGUGGAAUUUCCUGUGUAGCGGUGAAAUGCGUAGGAAUAGGAAGGAACACCAGUGGCGAAGGCGACUACCUGGACUGAUACUGACACUGAGGUGCGAAAGCGUGGGGAGCAAAC